rnacentral:misc_RNA from 1 species
AAGUACCGUAACUAAAAUCCUAUGAUCAAGUGGCCACAAAAUGGAAGCUCCACUGAAUUCCUUGCAUACCAAAGCCCACCUGCUACCCGAAAUCACCAUAGCCCAAUUUCCAAAGACUCCUGCAUGAGCACUGAGCAGCAACAAACAGCAACUACCAUCUUCCUUUUAGGAUUCGGCUCGUCUUCUGUUUAACAACCAACUUCACACAAAGUGUAGCAGGGAAGGACUCUGUUUCUGAAAUGGCAAAGGAGAUUAAAGAUUUGAGUUGUUGGAUUGAAAUUGCACCAGCCCUUUUCAUAUCUCUGCAC